GCAAACGAGCUGCGGCCUUGGCGGAUUAUGUAUUGGGAGUGUUGGGGAAGUACAACUGAGUUGAAAAGCUGGUUAGCUCAAACAUACAAUGGGUCCUCAGUGAUGGCAUCCCAGCUUAAUGGGGUGCAGGCCAAGAUAAGAGAAAAAGUGCCCGAAGUUCCAUUUAUUCACUGUUAAACUUGGUGAUCUCACAGUCAGUGAAAUGCAGCCCAGAGUGUAAAAUCAUUUUCAAAACUGUGGAAGGACUCACUUUGACUUUCAAACUCAAAAGGAAUGAAUAAGACUUCCACAACACUACCACGGAGAGGUUCACCCUGACGGACAGACGAAUGGACUUCAUUUCCAAGCCAAGGGUCCAGGGUUCGUCUGAGUCGAAGUGGGUGUCCCCUCCGAUCCCAGGGCCCGGAAAGUAGGCGUGAGCUAGGAACCCGCCCUCACCGUCGAAGGGUGAGCUGUCGCCAUGGAAACCUGAGGCACCAUUCAAUACAAUUCUCACCUGAGGCGAAGAUGAUCGUGAUGUCCACAUCACGCCUACCGCUCUCCAGGGCGCUGUAAGGGACGGCCUCAAAGUGAAGCGGCGUCACCCCCUGCCACACGUCAAACGCA